UACGAAGGGGGCUAGCGUUGCUCGGAAUCACUGGGCGUAAAGGGUGCGUAGGCGGGUCUUUAAGUCAGGGGUGAAAUCCUGGAGCUCAACUCCAGAACUGCCUUUGAUACUGAGGAUCUUGAGUUCGGGAGAGGUGAGUGGAACUGCGAGUGUAGAGGUGAAAUUCGUAGAUAUUCGCAAGAACACCAGUGGCGAAGGCGGCUCACUGGCCCGAUACUGACGCUGAGGCACGGAAAGCGUGGGGAGCCAAACAGGG
rnacentral:rRNA from 1 species